GACGAACGCUGGCGGCGUGCCUCAGACAUGCAAGUCGAACGAUUAAGACUUCCUUCGGGAAGUGUAUAAAGUGGCGCACGGGUGAGUAACACGUAAGUAAUCUACCUUCGAGUGGGGAAUAACAUCGGGAAACCGAUGCUAAUACCGCAUAAUGCAGCGGCAUCGCAAGAUGACAGUUGUUAAAGGAGCAAUUCGCUUGAAGAGGAGCUUGCGGCAGAUUAGCUAGUUGGUAAGGUAAUGGCUUACCAAGGCUACGAUCUGUAUCCGGUCUAAGAGGACGGUCGGACACACUGACACUGAAUAACGGGUCAGACUCCUACGGGAGGCAGCAGUCGGGAAUUUUGGGCAAUGGGCGAAAGCCUGACCCAGCAACGCCGCGUGAGGGAUGAAGUAUUUCGGUAUGUAAACCUCGAAAGAAUGGGAAGAAUAAAUGACGGUACCAUUUAUAAGCUCCGGCUAACUACGUGCCAGCCGCCGCCGUAACAC
rnacentral:rRNA from 1 species